CCUACGGGGGGCAGCAGUGAGGAAUAUUGGUCAAUGGGCUUACGCCUGAACCAGCCAAGUCGCGUGAGGGAAGACUGCCCUAUGGGUUGUAAACCUCUUUUGUCAGGGAGCAAUUGGCGCUACGUGUAGCGUUAUCGAGAGUACCUGAAGAAAAAGCAUCGGCUAACUCCGUGCAAGCAGCCGCGGUAAUACGGAGGAUGCGAGCGUUAUCCGGAUUUAUUGGGUUUAAAGGGUGCGUAGGCGGAAUGCGAAGUCAGCGGUAAAAUCGCGGGGCUCAACCUCGCUCCGCCGUUGAUACUGGCGUUCUGGAGUGGGCGAGAAGUAUGCGGAAUGAGUGGUGUAGCGGUGAAAUGCAUAGAUAUCACGCAGAACUCCGAUUGCGAAGGCAGCAUACCGGCGCCCAACUGACGCUGAAGCACGAAAGCGUGGGUAUCGAACAGGAUUAGAUACCCCGGUAGUC
rnacentral:rRNA from 1 species